CCUGGUUGAUCCUUCUAGUAGUCAUAUGCUUGUCUCAAAUAUUAAGCCAUGCAUGUCUAAGUAUGAACUAAUUCAGACUGUGAAACUACGGAUGGCUCAUUAAAUCAGUUAUAUUUUUUUUGAUGGUACCAUAUUAAGAUAACCAUAGUAAUUCUAGAGCUAAUAUGUGCACCAAGUCUCGACUCUUUGGAAGGGAUGCAGUUUUUAGAUAAAAGGUCGGUGCAAGCUUGCCCGCUUCUCUGGUGAAUCAUGAUAACUCAAUGGAUCGCACAACCCUUGUGCUGGUGAUGCGUCAUUCAAAUUUCUUCCCUAUCAAAUUUUAAUAGUAGGAUAGAAGCCUACCAUGGUGGUGACAUGUGAUGGAGAAUUAGGGUUUGAUUUUGGAGAGUCCUGAGAAAUGGCUACCACAUCUAAGGAAGGAAGCAGGCACACAAAUUACCCAAUCUUGACAUGGGGAGGUAGUAAUAAUAAAUAACAAUACUAGGCUCAUCCAGUCUAGUAAUUGGAAUGAGUACAAUAUAAAUCCCUUAAUGAGGAUCCAUUAGAGGGCAAGUCUGGUGCCAGCAACCACGGUAAUUCUAGCUCCAAUAACAUAUAUUUAAGUUGUUGUAGUUAAAAAGCUCGUAUUUGGUCUUGGGUCAUAAAGGUUGGUCUGCCUACUCGGUGUGCACCUUCCCUUUUGUCCCUUUUUUCGACGACAUGAUCCUGGCUUUAAUUGGCUGGAUCAUGGCUCCAACAUUAUUACUUUGAAAAAAUUAGAGUGCUCAAAGCAAUCUUAUGCUUUGAAUACAUUAUCAUGGAAUAACGUGAUAGGAGUCUAGUCUUAUUGUGUUAACAUUUGGGACCAGAGUAAUGAUUAAUAAGGACUAUCGGGGGCAUUCGUAUUUCAAUGUCAGAGGUGAAAUUCUUAGAUUUAUGAAAGAUGGACUACUGUGAAAUCAUUUGCAAAGGAUGUUUUCAUUAAUCAAGAAUGAAAUUUAAGGGCUUGAAGACGAUCAGAUACUCUCCUAGUCUCAACCAUAAAUGAUGCCGACCAGGGAUCGAUGGUUGUUGCUCUAAGGAAUCUAUUAGCAUCUUCUGAGAAAUCAGAGUGUUUGGGUUCCAGAGGGAGUAUGGUCGCAAGGUUGAACCUUAAAGGAAUUGACAGAAGGGUGUUAUAGACAUUUUUGGGCACUUCAACCCCAAUCACAAAUGUCCAUAAACUGAGGGCUCUUAAGUCCCUAAAAGGGUUGCUUCACUGCCUAAAGGAACAAGAUCAACUGAUUACAUCAUCUCCCAUAAGUUCUCCACUGACAACUAUUCAUAAAUGGUCAAAACUGGACCAUACUGAAAGCUCCAUGUAGAGGGUGCGAUGCAUAUAACCUUCACAAUGUACAGGGUGCGAUGCAUAUUGUUUUGCUCCUCUGUAGGGUGCGAUGGUUGGGAAUGGAAAAAUGGCAGGGACCAAAAUGCAAGGUGGAAAAUCAUGGAAUAUUCCAGAAGCUUCCCCUCUGACACUUGCCACUCCAUUUUCGACCAGGGAUGAGUAAGAGAUCUUCAUUCUUCAAGUGGAAGUAGGAACUAUCAGAGAGAAGACACUAAUCAAGAUCCCAAAAGAUGACUCGCCUCUCUGUAAUCAUCCAUAUAUGGAUCCCUC
rnacentral:rRNA from 1 species